UCCUGGUUAACCCAGGCAGUCUCACUAGAGUUCCCACCUUUACGUGUUGGCAACUAAUGAUAAGGGUUGCGCUCGUUGCGGGACUUAACCCAACACCUCACGGCACGAGCUGACGACAGCCAUGCAGCACCUGUUCAUAUGCCCCGAAAGGAAUAGAUAUUUCUACCUACGUCAUAUGUAUGUCAAGUCUGGGUAAGGUUCUUCGCGUUGCAUCGAAUUAAACCACAUGCUCCACUGCUUGUGCGGGUCCCCGUCAAUUCUUUUGAGUUUCACCCUUGCGAGUGUACUCCCCAGGCGGUAUACUUAACACGUUUGCUACGGCACAGCUAGGGUUGAGUCCAGCUACACCAAGUAUACAUAGUUUACAGUAAGGACUAC
rnacentral:misc_RNA from 1 species